CCGACUGCUAUUUGGGUGAGAAUAAGCCAUGCGAGUUGAAUGGGAUACCUAAAGUUCCCAUAGCAAACUGCUCAGUAACACAUGAUCAACUUACCCUAUAGAGAAAAAUAACCUCGGGAAACUGAGGAUAAUAUUUCAUAAUUGAAUUGGCUUGGAAAAGUUUUUCAAUGAAAAGGAUAAAAAAAAUGGUUUUUAUCUGCUAUAGGAUAGGAUCGUGUUCGAUUAUGGUUGUUGGUGAGAUAAUGGCUCACCAAGCCGAUAAUCGAUAGGGGCCGUGAGAGCGGGAGCCCCGAGAUGGGUACUGAGACAACGACCCAGGCCUUACGAGGCGCAGCAGGCGCGGAACCUCCGCAAUACACGAAAGUGUGACGGGGUUACCCAAAGUGUUCAAUAGAACUGUGGUAGGUGAGUAAUGUUCCCUACUAGAAAGGAGAGGGCAAGGCUGGUGCCAGCCGCCGCGGUAAAACCAGCUCUUCAAGUGGUCGGGAUAAUUAUUGGGCUUAAAGUGUCCGUAGCCGGUUUAGUAAGUUCCUGGUAAAAUCGGGUGGCUUAACUAUCUGCAUGCUAGGAAUACUGCUAUACUAGAGGGCGGGAGAGGUCUGAGGUACUACAGGGGUAGGGGUGAAAUCUUAUAAUCCUUGUAGGACCACCAGUGGCGAAGGCGUCAGACUGGAACGCGCCUGACGGUGAGGGACGAAAGCCAGGGGAGCGAACCGGAUUAGAUACCCGGGUAGUCCUGGCCGUAAACGAUGCAUACUAGGUGAUGGUACGGCCAUGAGCCGUAUCAGUGCCGUAGGGAAACCGUUAAGUGUGCCGCCUGGGAAGUACGGUCGCAAGGCUAAAACUUAAAGGAAUUGGCGGGGGAGCACCACAAGGGGUGAAGCCUGCGGUUCAAUUGGAUCAACGCCGA
rnacentral:rRNA from 1 species